AGGGAAAUCUAAAGCAUGGUUUUGGCCCAUGAAAUCACUAGUUCUUUCCUUU
rnacentral:tRNA from 1 species